UACGUAGGUGGCAAGCGUUGUCCGGAUUUACUGGGCGUAAAGGAUGCGUAGGCGGACAUUUAAGUCAGAUGUGAAAUACCCGAGCUUAACUUGGGUGCUGCAUUUGAAACUGGGUGUCUAGAGUGCAGGAGAGGUAAGUGGAAUUCCUAGUGUAGCGGUGAAAUGCGUAGAGAUUAGGAAGAACACCAGUGGCGAAGGCGACUUACUGGACUGUAACUGACGCUGAGGCAUGAAAGCGUGGGGAGCAAACAGG
rnacentral:rRNA from 5 species